UGGGGAAUUUUGGACAAUGGGCGCAAGCCUGAUCCAGCAAUGCCGCGCGCAGGAUGAAGGCCUUCGGGUUGUAAACUGCUUUUGUACGGAGCGAAAAGGUCUGCCCUAAUACUGUGGGCUCAUGACGGUACCGUAAGAAUAAGCACCGGCUAACUACGUGCCAGCAGCCGCGGUAAUACGUAGGGUGCGAGCGUUAAUCGGAAUUACUGGGCGUAAAGCGUGCGCAGGCGGUUAUAUAAGACAGAUGUGAAAUCCCCGGGCUCAACCUGGGACCUGCAUUUGGGACUGUAUAGCUAGAGUACGGUAGAGGGGGAUGGAAUUCCGCGUGUAGCAGUGAAAUGCGUAGAUAUGCGGAGGAACACCGAUGGCGAAGGCAGUCCCCUGGACCUGUACUGACGCUCAUGCACGAAAGCGUGGGGAGCAAACA
rnacentral:rRNA from 1 species